UUUGUCUAUGCAAAAAUUCUUGUUGUUCGUUAUGAUGAAAACAUCCGACGAGCGUAUUUUCACCUUAUUCAUCUUCGUUAAACCAACCCUCGAAGGUUUCGUGCAGGUAUUAAAAAUGUGCAUCUCCUAUUUCACGGUAAUGGCUUCUAUAGAAGGACAACACAAAUAGUAUUGAUGUACCAUUAUUGUACCACGUAUACUAUAGAUUGGUAUAAUGCACCUUUAUGCGUAAAAAAAUUAAUCUUGACGAUGAUGAUAAGGUACACACCGCCUAUUUCUAUUAAUAUGAGCGGUGUUUA